GUAUUUUUGAAAGAAAAAUUAAAAAUAUUGGGUUAAAAUGCAAAAACAAAGUUCGGUCACAUGGGACGGCCCGGUCAGUAGCCCCAGAAAAGUAGAGCACGCCGGUGAAACCCUCGUUGACAUCAGCACCACGCGGGAAGCCACGCGUGGAUCUGCGUGCUCGGCGAUCCGACAGUCCAGAUAUCAUCUCGCACGUGUGAAUGGGCCAGAUGUGUUCCCUCUUUAGGCGUGAUCGAAUGAUCAAAUUCAAUCUGAUCGGCGGCCCAGAUUUAUUUCCCCAAUAAGAUGAAUCCAAUGGAUGAGAGAAGGCCACGUAUCCUCGAGUGAACUGCCCAGAUCGAGACGGGAUGUGUAUUUAAACAUCGCAUCUAAGGGAAUCCUAACCCUACCCACACCUGCCUUCGUUGGAGAAGGAGACCGACCACCGGCCGCCGCUGCACCAGAACCACCCCCGACCAUAAAAAGGUUAGUCGAAGAAGAAACCCCAACUGCGAAAAGGAAUCGGUGGAUGAGCUGCACCCGGAGACUCCUUCGCCUGUAGGUUCGAUUUUUUUUUUCUGACCAACUAAGGCUUCCUAACGUAUUUUGUGCAGGGAUACAUGCAAAAUCGGCCAAAACUAGCCAAAACUAGCCAAAACCAGCUAGGCCAAGGCGAACUGCCGCUACUAGAGCACGGUGGCAGGGCCGUACUAGAACCCUAAAAUUUGCUGGAAACGAUUUUCAAUACUGAUUUUGAAUU
rnacentral:lncRNA from 1 species